GUAGGGAAUAUUGGACAAUGGGCGAAAGCCUGAUCCAGCAAUGCCGCGUGAGUGAUGAAGGCCUUAGGGUUGUAAAGCUCUUUUACCAGGGAUGAUAAUGACAGUACCUGGAGAAUAAGCUCCGGCUAACUCCGUGCCAGCAGCCGCGGUAAUACGGAGGGAGCUAGCGUUGUUCGGAAUUACUGGGCGUAAAGCGCGCGUAGGCGGCGAUUUAAGUCAGAGGUGAAAGCCCGGGGCUCAACCCCGGAAUAGCCUUUGAGACUGGAUUGCUAGAAUCCUGGAGAGGUGAGUGGAAUUCCGAGUGUAGAGGUGAAAUUCGUAGAUAUUCGGAAGAACACCAGUGGCGAAGGCGGCUCACUGGACAGGUAUUGACGCUGAGGUGCGAAAGCGUGGGGAGCAAACAGGAUUAGAUACCCCGGUAGUCC
rnacentral:rRNA from 1 species